GCCCACGACACCUUGCUUAGCCACACCCUCAAGGGAAUUCAGCAGUGAUAGACAUUAAGCCAUAAGUGAAAACUUGACUUAGUCAAAGCUAAGAGGGCCGGUAAAACUCGUGCCAGCCACCGCGGUUAUACGAGAGACCCAAGUUGAUGGACCCCGGCGUAAAGUGUGGUUAAGGAAACACUAAACUAAAGCCGAAUAUCUUCAGAACUGUCAUACGCACCCGAAGAUAAGAAGUACAACUACGAAAGUGGCUUU
rnacentral:rRNA from 1 species